rnacentral:tRNA from 1 species
GCCUACCUGGCUCAAUUGGUAGAGCAUGUGACUCUUGAUUUCAGGGUUGUGAGUUCAAGCCCCACAUUGGGCG